UGGCAAUCCCUGGGAAAUUGAGAAAGGGCAGAAGUCAAGGCCAGCCGGGUGGAUGUGGCCUCUGUGGCCCUCCACCAUCCCAGCAGCAGUGAGCCAGAGCACGUGAGACAGCAGCUUGUGAUUGACAGCUCCUUAUUUGCGGUGAGCAAAUGAGUGAGGCACACUGCGCAGGACUUGGAGCCAUGCACAGACCAGGAAGUAGCUGCAUGGAGAGACUAGCUUUCCUGGGAAGACACAGUGGAACCAGGAUCCGAACCAGGCUGAUGCUGGAAUGUGGUUCUUGGUGCUACGUCCCCUCUGUGAAGAGCCUGAAGCCUCGUUGCCCCUGAAAUGUCAUGACUGCACAGAAUGUCAUUUGCUGCAUAAAAAGGUCAACAUUUUAGAGUCUUAGAACAAAGGCACAUUUGUUUUGGCCUUGAGUCUGAAAUUCCGGAAGAGCAUUGGGCUGAAUUAUGUCCCCCACCU
rnacentral:lncRNA from 1 species